ACUGCAUGCAUAGAGCUCCGAGUUUAUCAUCAAAAAACCCUACACCUAACUGACUGGCCAAAAGAGGGAUGUAUUCGAUUAUAGCGAGCCUGACCCGCCAAUGUCUGUCCUCCGCAAGCUCAACAAUGGCCGGUAGCAGUGACUGUGAUAACAGAUCAAUUCCAAUGACCUGGUUAACUUGAUCAAGUUUACUGAUAAUAUUUAGCCGCACAUCUGGGAACUCAUCUUUCAGCAGGGAAAGGAAAAUUGGAAGAAGUUGUUCAAUAGUCGCAUCCUUUCCCAAGACAGGUGCCAUCCCCAUGAUCACAGAAGCUAAUGCUGACCGCACAUGUUGUGAAGAGUCUGACGACAAAUCCUUCACACAGGGAAGGAUGUGCUGAAUUGAAAGUUGUGGGUUCAAGAUCCGGCA
rnacentral:misc_RNA from 1 species